CGGAUGGGCAUGGGCGCAGCCUGACCCAGCCAUGCCGCGUGCAGGAUGACAGCCCUACGGGUUGUAAACUGCUUUUAUACGGGAAAAAACCCUCUGACGUGUCAGAGGCUGAUGGUACCGUAAGAAUAAGCAUCGGCUAACUCCGUGCCAGCAGCCGCGGUAAU
rnacentral:rRNA from 1 species